rnacentral:rRNA from 1 species
ACUCAAAUGAAUUGACGGGGGCCCGCACAAGCGGCGGAGCAUGCUGAUUAAUUCGAUGCGACGCGAAGAACCUUACCUGGGCUUGACAUGCACGGAAAUCCGGCAGAGAUGCCGGGUCCGCAAGGGCUGUGCACAGGUGGUGCAUGGCUGUCGUCAGCUCGUGUCGUGAGAUGUUGGGUUAAGUCCCGCAACGAGCGCAACCCUCGUCCCAUGUUGCCAGCACGUAAUGGUGGGGACUCAUGGGAGACUGCCGGGGUCAACUCGGAGGAAGGUGGGGAUGAGGUCAAGUCAUCAUGCCCCUUAUGUCCAGGGCUUCAAGCAUGCUACAAUGGCCGGUACAAAGGGCUGCGAUACCGCAAGGUGGAGCGAAUCCCAAAAAGCCGGUCUCAGUUCGGAUCGGGGUCUGCAACUCGACCCCGUGAAGUUGGAGUCGCUAGUAAUCGCAGAUCAGCAACGCUGCGGUGAAUACGUUCCCGGGCCUUGUACACACCGCCCGU